UACGGGGGGAGCAAGCGUUGUUCGGAUUUAUUGGGCGUAAAGAGCUCGUAGGCGGCUUGUUGCGUCGUCCGUGAAAACCUGGGGCUCAACUCCAGGCUUGCGGACGAUACGGGCAGGCUAGAGUUCGGUAGGGGAGACUGGAAUUCCUGGUGUAGCGGUGAAAUGCGCAGAUAUCAGGAGGAACACCGAUGGCGAAGGCAGGUCUCUGGGCCACUACUGACGCUGAGAAGCGAAAGCAUGGGGAGCGAACAGG
rnacentral:rRNA from 1 species